ensembl:snoRNA
GGAUUCACAAUGAGCUAUGUUUACUGAGCAUGAUGCAGUGAAGUUCAAUAAAAAAAAUCCUACUCAUUC